ACGCUAGCGGGAGGCCUAACACAUGCAAGCCGAGCGGUAUUUGUCUUUCGGGACAGAGAGAGCGGCGUACGGGUGCGGAACACGUGUGCAACCUACCUUUAUCAGGGGGAUAGCCUUUCGAAAGGAAGAUUAAUACCCCAUAAUGUAUUGAUUGGCAUCAGUUAAUAUUGAAAACUCCGGUGGAUAGAGAUGGGCACGCGCAAGAUUAGAUAGUUGGUAGGGUAACGGCCUACCAAGUCAGUGAUCUUUAGGGGGCCUGAGAGGGUGAUCCCCCACACUGGUACUGAGACACGGACCAGACUCCUACGGGAGGCAGCAGUGAGGAAUAUUGGACAAUGGGUGAGAGCCUGAUCCAGCCAUCCCGCGUGAAGGACGACGGCCCUAUGGGUUGUAAACUUCUUUUGUAUAGGGAUAAACCUACUCUCGUGAGAGUAGCUGAAGGUACUAUACGAAUAAGCACCGGCUAACUCCGUGCCAGCAGCCGCGGUAAUACGGAGGGUGCAAGCGUUAUCCGGAUUUAUUGGGUUUAAAGGGUCCGUAGGCGGAUCUGUAAGUCAGUGGUGAAAUCUCAUAGCUUAACUAUGAAACUGCCAUUGAUACUGCAGGUCUUGAGUAAAGUAGAAGUGGCUGGAAUAAGUAGUGUAGCGGUGAAAUGCAUAGAUAUUACUUAGAACACCAAUUGCGAAGGCAGGUCACUAUGUUUUAACUGACGCUGAUGGACGAAGCGUGGGGAGCGAGC
rnacentral:rRNA from 1 species